UCAAAUGAAUUGAUCCUUCAACUAAAGGGUGGUUCCAACCAUAUGUUUCCAUUCAAAUGCAUUGAUCCUUCAACUAAAAGGGGGUUCCAACCAUGUCUUCAUUCAAAUGCAUUGAUCCUUCAACUAAAAGGGGGUUCCAACCAUAUGUCUCCAUUCAAAUGCAUUGAUCCUUCAACAACAAGGGGGUUCCAACCAUAUGUCUCCAUUCAAAUGCAUUAAUCCUUCAACUAAAAGGGGAUUCCAACCAUAUGUCUCCAUUCAAAUGCAUUGAUCCUUCAACUAAAAGGAAUAAUAUUCAGUGAUGCUGUUCUAUGAAGCAAAUACAUUUGAUAAGCAAUUGACCACUAAAAGGUUUUGAAUCACUUUUAUUUUACUUCUAUUGAUAAAUAGGAAAAAAUAUUUUUCUUGCCAUAUUGCUUUAUGUUGUGCACAA
rnacentral:lncRNA from 1 species